CUACUGACGGUACCUUAAGAAGAAGCACCGGCUAACUACGUGCCAGCAGCCGCGGUAAUACGUAGGGUGCAAGCGUUAAUCGGAAUUACUGGGCGUAAAGCGUGCGUAGGCGGUUAUGUAAGUCAGGGGUGAAAUCCCCGGGCUCAACCUGGGAACUGCCUUUGAGACUGCACGGCUUGAAUCCGGGAGAGGGGGGUGGAAUUCCAGGUGUAGGAGUGAAAUGCGUAGAUAUCUGGAGGAACACCAAUGGCGAAGGCGGCCACCUGGACCGGUAUUGACGCUCAGGUGCGAAAGCGUGGGGAGCAAACAGGAUUAGAUACCCUGGUAGUCCACGCCGUAAACGAUGGAUGCUAGAUGUUGGG
rnacentral:rRNA from 1 species